GAGGGUAUAGCUCAGUGGUAGAGCACGUGCUUAGCAUGCACAAGGUCCUGGGUACCUCCA
rnacentral:tRNA from 1 species